rfam:Ixodes scapularis strain Wikel colony gcontig_1108379411092, whole genome shotgun sequence.
AUGUGUCGUCAAAUGUAUGUUCUGAUGAAAAUAUCCACCAAGUUUCGCAGCCAGCUGCGAGACUUGGUGUAAAUUGCAGGUCACACUGAGCACUUACUCUUUGAACCCACAUUGCGGCCCCGGGCCUUCCCGUAGCUUCGUCUGUGUGAGGAUCG